rnacentral:Y_RNA from 1 species
GUUUGGUCCAAAUGCAGUGGUGUUUACAACUAAUUGAUAAAACCAAUUACAGAUUCUUUGUUCCUUCUCCACUCCCACUUCUUCACUUGGCCAACCUAAA